rnacentral:lncRNA from 1 species
GCCUAACCUUCUGGGAAUGUAGCCCAGUAGAUCUCAGCCUUGUUUUACCCAGCCCCUAUUCAAGAUGGAGUCACUCUGGUUCAAACACCUCUGACAAAAAUCCUUCUAAAAAUUUUUAAUAUACAAAUUGAGAUCUUCUAAUAUUUUUCUAUUACUGUGGUAUAUCACUUCUUUCCCUUUGUGCACCCUACUUAAAAUUUCAACUCACUCAGAAGAUACAGGAGCUGACUGUCGCUGUGGCUGUGCUGUAUCGGAACACUGCCUACCUUAAGGAAAGAACUUUGGAGGUCUCAGGCUUUGAAUUUUAUUUCCUGUAGUUUUUUCUCUCUGAAAUCUUAUAUAGGCUUUUCCUGAGUAAGGGUCAUUUUCACUUAGCUUUUUGAUGGUAUAAUGGACUGAAUGUUUGUGUCCCCCUUCCAAGUUCAAAUGUUGAAGGCCAAACCCUCCUUGUGGCUGUACUUGGAGAUGGGGGCCUCUUAGGAAGCAAUUAAGGUUGGAUGAGGUCCUUAGGGUGGGGCCCUGAUAGGAUUAGCGUCUGUAUAAAAAGAGACACCUGAGAGCUUCGCCCUGCUAGGAUUAGCGUCUGUAUAAAGAGAGACACCUGAGAGCUUCGCCCUGCUAGGAUUAGCGUCUGUAUAAAGAGAGACACCUGAGAGCUUCGCCCUGCUAGGAUUAGCGUCUGUAUAAAGAGAGACACCUGAGAGCUUCGCCCUGCUAGGAUUAGCGUCUGUAUAAAGAGAGACACCUGAGAGCUUCGCCUACACGCUUCCCCACUGAGGGAAGACCAUGUGACUAUACAACAGGAAGGUAGUUGUUUACAAGCCAGGAAGAGAGCCCUCACCAGAAACCAAAUUGGCUGGCGCCUUGAUCAUGGACUCCUGGGCUCCGGAACUGUAAGAAAAUUUGUGUUGUGGAAGCCACCCAGCCCAUGGUAUUUCGUUAUGGCAGCCUGAGCAGAGGUGGUAGCUAUGUGGACAGUUUUUGGACUUCUCUAUUGUAACACAGGAGGCAACACAGAUUCUUCAAGUCUCACAGCUACUCCCUAGGGAUCACUGGGGAACUUGGAAAAAAUCUAUUGGCUCAGCUAGUGAGCGAUCACUUCCUGUACCACUGUUCUGAGGGCGGACUUCCAGCUCAGGAUCAUGCGAGGGCAUUUUGUUGCCCUUCAUCACUCAGCAGUGAAGAAUGAAAAUCAACAGAGCUUUCCCCAGCCUGCUGCUUAAGCAGCUGCUAGCAGGCUGAGGCUGCCCAGCCUCAUUAACCCAUUAGAUGCUGCGUUCGCCCGGGAGUCAUUCUUAAUGAGGCUGCUGCAGAUGAGAAAACAGAAGCAAAGGCAGAAAGAUGCUACAUUGCCAGCUUUGAAGAUGGAGGGAAGAGGUCACAAACCAAGGAAGGCAAUGAGGACGUUGCACAAGACAGUCCCUGAUACCCAGAGUUUACUGCCUAAGAGAGGAUACAUCCUUCAAACCAAUAAUCUGCUAAUAGCAAGAUCCAAUAGCUUCAUGGAUAUUGAAAGAAACUGAGAAUCAAAUUUGCAUACUUCUGAGUCACUUGGAAACAAAAAACAAGUACAGUCUUAGAUUCUGAGGGAACAAAAAUUAAAAAUCACAUUAGGAAGAGAAUUCCUAAUGUAGGAACUCAUCCUGGAAGAUUCUUCAGCAAAAGUACAGACAAUAAUAAUAAUACUCCAUGAAGUUACCAUCGAUAUUGAAUGAAUUAAUGAAUGUAAAAACCUCAAAACCCUGCCUGGCCCAGAGCUUUGGAAUGGGUUUGGAUCUACCACUCAACUGCUUUAUGACUUCAGACCAGUUAUUUAAAUUCCCUGAAGCUCAGUUUCCACAUCUUUGAGUUUUUAUUAAUGACCUGCCGACAUCAUACAGUUCAUGAAAUGCUCUGGAUGUGUACAUGCUGAUGAUACGACCUCAGACCCAGCAAGAGCUCAGUGCAGCCCGGAGAGCUGUGAGCAGUGCCACAGGAGGAGAUGACUGGUGAGUGAAAUAAGCAAGAUAGGAGUUGAAGUGUACAUGAAGCAGAGUCCAAGCCUUCUCCUUCUGGAUGUUCAGCUGGAUCAUCCUGACUGCUCCCACUUUCAUCUUGGCUUUCAAAGGCAAGAGGAAAUUAUAAGGAAUAUUCUGAGUGGCUUUCAUCCAGGAGUUCUGUGGGACCCGCAACACCUGGAUGGUAGAUGCAAACAGAUAAAGAAUAUUGGUCACCAAAAGGAGUUCUUUUCAUCAUAGAUCUCUGAAGGUAGACACCUAUUUGCAGACUUCUCAAAGGGCUAUAUGGAUGUGCUCUACUUGUUGGAGGAUUGUCCAUCCACUCUUCUUCCUGUACUUACCAGGACAGAACAGCCGCAACUUCUCAGACAGUUCAUUCUUCUUUUCCUCACCUACUACCAUCUAAGAAAGGUACUUGAUGACUGUGGCUUUAGACAAGAGUCCUUUUCUUACCACAGGGUGGGCAGCACCAGCUCAUUAGAACCAUUUGUGUGACUGACUGAAGACAGCUCACCUUGGAACACUGCAGAAUAUGGCGUAAGUGACAUUUUACAAGUUCCAGAGCCUGGGACUCAAGAUGUCUUGGAGAUUCUGUCUUUGCAGUCUUAUAAUGAUGCCCUGAGAUCAUCAUUAAAGAAAGCCAGUCUGGCCUACUGAGGAUGAGAAGCUACAUAAAGGAGAAUGAAGAUUCCCCAGCCAACAGGCAAUAUCAGUGGUCAGAUAUGUGAAUAAAGCCAUGUUGAACCUCUCGGCUAGACGACCCUCCAGCAUAUGAAACCAGCAGAUGAAUAUCCCAGCCUGCCUGAAGAACUGUACAGGAAAUAAGAAAUCAUUGUUUUUUAAGCCACUGGGUUGGUGGGUGGUUUGUUACAUUGAAAUUGUUAACUAAAACAGAAAUUGGUGCAUAGAGGUCAGGUGCUGUCAUAAUAAAAAUCUAAAACAUAUACUGUUGGCUUUGGUGAUGGGAGUGAUUGGUAGCUAAAGAGGCAGUGAAACAAUGAUUAGUAGAUACUGGGAAGUUAAUAAGGAAAUUUCUAUUGGAGGGUGGAGAAAGGGCCACCCUUGUUAUAUAGUGGCCAAAGAAUCAGCAAAAUGUUGCCUGCUGCAACCUGGAAAGUAGAAACUUUUCUUAAACUCACGGAUCUGGCUGGGAGAUUUCCAGGAUGCAUGCAACAAAUGUGAAUCAACUUUGUAUAGCUGUGUAUAAUAAAGUGUGCUGUAUUUGUCCAUUCUGAUGCUGCUAAUAAAGACAUACCUGAGACUGAAU